GACGAACGCUGGCGGCGUGCUUAACACAUGCAAGUCGAACGGAAAGGCCCUGCUUUUGUGGGGUGCUCGAGUGGCGAACGGGUGAGUAACACGUGAGUAACCUGCCCUUGACUUUGGGAUAACUUCAGGAAACUGGGGCUAAUACCGGAUAGGAGCUCCUGCUCCAUGGUGGGGGUUGGAAAGUUUCGGCGGUUGGGGAUGGACUCGCGGCUUAUCAGCUUGUUGGUGGGGUAGUGGCUUACCAAGGCUUUGACGGGUAGCCGGCCUGAGAGGGUGACCGGCCACAUUGCGACUAGGAUACGGCCCAGACUCCUACGGGAGGCAGCAGUGGGGAAUAUUGCACAAUGGGCGGAAGCCGGAUGCAGCAACGCCGCGUGAGGGAUGACGGCCUGCGGGUUGUAAACCGCUUUCGCCUGUGACGAAGCGUGAGUGACGGUAAUGGGUAAAGAAGCACCGGCUAACUACGUG
rnacentral:rRNA from 1 species